AAUCAUUGUUUUCUACAUCGUGAUUGGGUGAUUCAAAAGCUUGUGUAUUUACAGGCACGUAUUUUUAAGCUGGUCUUCACUACAGUGUUUUGGACUGUCUUUUUAUUUCCCCCAUUAGAGGGAGCCAAGUGGUAGAAAAAAACUCAGUGCACUGCAAAGGCUGCUCCUUUGUAUUGGCUUGGGUGCUCCUACUCUUCAAAGCACUACCUGCACUGAAGGGAUACAGCAAACUCUGGAGUCUCCAUCUUUGCUUUGCAGUCUGCAUUUUUCUAAAGUUAAGACAUCUGUGUUUCUUUCUGUUUUAAGAACUCAGUUCACAUCUACAUUGUUAGAUACCUGUUAGAUCGCUAGUUUUAAGCAUGAGAAAAAAACCCAACAUAAUUGAUACACACGAAUUAUAGAAGAUAUAAAUAGCUGGGACUGGUAGUGUGUACCAGUAGUCCCAGCUACUCAGGAGGCUGAGGCAGGAGAGUCACUUGAGUUGAGGAGUUCAAGGCCAGCCUGGGCAACACAGCUAAACCUCUUCUCAAAAAAA